UCUACCAAUAUUCGGUGGAUGUCUGGAUCCACCACUUAGUGACCAACCAACCACACAAAGAAAAUACUCAAGUUAAAAUUUAAACAGAAGAAAAAAAAAAUUAAAGUGCAAACAGAAGUGUGAGUGAGAGAAGAAGAGAAAAGAAGGAGAGGAGGAGGAGGAGGAGAGAAAAGAAAAAAAAUAUAAAGAAGGAAUUGAAUUUGUAUUACUAAUUAAAGGAUUCAAUAAGCAACACAACCACUGAGUUCUUACUAUUAUCUUCAACAAUUACAAUAACAAGAAUCAGUAAUACCAAAGAGACUUUUUAAGAAGCUCUUGGCCCAGCUACAAGCCGAAAUACCAGGUAAUACAAUUUUUCUCCCCCCCUCUUAUUUUACAUUAUUCUCUCCUUAUACUGUCAUUCUCACACAUGCAUUCCUUCUCUUGUAACAACCUCCAGCUCAGCCUUUAGUUUCUUCCAGAAUCGUCUAGCUCAACAGCCAUUCCUUUAGCAUUUUCUUUAAUCUUCCUUCUAGAAUAUACUCUUAGUGGCCCAGGUCCAUUACAGCCAACCUUCACUGUUGAAUCAUUUACAACGAGGCUCCUUUCAUCUGCUCCAUGAGUCCUUGAUUUUAAAGUUUCAAGUAGUUCCCAAAGCUGGCCAGGGAUCAAAGGAAGCCUACCCUUACAUUUUUCUUUAAUGCUUGUGUUCCCAUCUGUGGUAAGACUGAUGAUUGAAGAUGGGAGUUGGGAUCCUUUCCUUUGAUCACAAGUGUCUGGAGGAUCUAUUCCUUCACGUGAACUGCUAGUGUCCAGUUCAACUGCUACUGUGUGAUCUUGAGCAGCUUCAUCAAUCCUUGGAAAUAGUUCUCUUAAUCUAUCCUCCAUUCUUUGAUUGGCCUUCAUGUCCACAAAAAUGGCAUCUGGACAAAUAUUUUUUGAAUAAUUUUUACCCAAACUUACAAUCACUAGAGAAUUGCCCAUCUUGUUAAAUGCUUCAGCUAACACAUUUACAUCCACAGAGAAAGAAUUAUGCUUCCUUCUUUUCCAAAGGGCAUCAUAAAAAUCCCUUGGCAGUUGUUCGGUGAUGUAGUUCCUUCCCAGCAAGUCAUGAAGUGUGUUUCCGCAAAUUCCAAAGUUCAAAUAAAGCAAACAUAUUAUAACAACCAACCUCAACACCACAACAGCAUAUGCAUCCUUCACAUUUUCACGACAUUUUCUGAUCCAUUCCAUAGUAUCUUUCUUGUCAUAAAGAAACUGAUGAACAAUUUCAACCAUAGCUUUUAGCAUGAUUUUUGUAUAUUGUGGUGCUUGUUCCACUAAUCUAGAAGUUUGGCUGCCAUUUCCAUCCUUGUAGAUAAGCCAUUCAACAAAAGAAGAUUUAGUGGCAAGGAAGUACCCCUGGGAGCAAGAUAACAGAAUCAGUUGGCGCUCAACAAGGUAUAAGAAACAAACAGGUGAGAUGUAGUCUUCUUCUUUUUCCCAGUUGGCAUUAUAAGCAUCUAUCAAAGCUCCAUGCAGCAUCCUCUUGAGAGAUAGCUCUCCUGGUCCUAUGUUAUUGCCGGCUAAAUUUUCCAUUGCUGCAUUCCUACAAAGGUCCUCAAUCAAAUCAUUCCAAGAUGAAUUCCAUUUUAAACCAUCCAUGAUUUUCGCAUGUAGUCCAUUAUAGAGCUUACCAGACCCAAGAAUUAUUAAUGCUAUUCUUCCCAGUUUCCCAUAAGACAAGUUAUUCUUCAAGUGGACAUUUUCGAAAAUCAUUUCUCUUAAGAGAUUUCUACAAGUCUCAGUUCUCCUGAAAGAAACCAUAUUCUGUUUCAGUGAUUCUCUCCAGUCCAGAGGAUAUAUGUAGCUAAAGAAAUGUCUAGUCGACAUUCCUACAAAUUUCUGCAACUCCUUGUUAUCACUGUGACAUCUGACCAGAAACUUGGAAUUCAAAAGAAAUUUGGAAAUCUCAAAGAUAUAAGCAAGGGACCUGCUUUGGCAGAAGAGAGAAAAUGAAUUCUUAAUUGAGAAUUCAUAAAGAGAUUCAAGAUUGGUCAAAACCUUCAUGCCAACAGAUAUUAACUCAGAAGACCAAUAAUUCCGAGAAGCAGAGACAAAAUGGUGAACAUCUAAAGAAAUGAGCUUCCCAUUCCUCUUCCCAUUCCUUUUUAUAUAUCUAUAGUCUACUUCUCUCACCCAAUCAGCAUCAGAGUUUAUAAGAACAAAAGUGGGACUUAGAUUAUUAAAGUGCCUUUGCACUCCCAAGUAGUUCAAGCAGAAUUCUCCAUAACUUCCAUAUUCACUAACAUCUUGAGUUUCAAGACAUCCAAGACACUCAAAUAUGUUAACAAUCUUAUCCUUCCAAAAUGACCAAGAGUAAAUCAGAGUUUCAAUUGAAACCUCAUUUUUUGAUAGCUUCUCAUCCAAAAAGCUUGCCAGAUCAAGAACCAAAUCAUUUUCCCACACAUACUCUGAGCUAUUUAGAUGAAAAUGGGCAUCAAGAAUCUUUCGAGCUGAUAAGAUCUCACCUUUUAUACUGUUAUGUCUCUGAGAAGAAUUUAGAUGCUGUUUCAUAAUGAACAAGUUACUUUGGUCAUGCAACAAAAUUUCAGCCUCCAAACACACAAGCUCGAAAAAUUGGUUCGAUUCAUUCUUUGCAAACGACUUUGCUUUUUCCAAAAGCUCCUCCUUCUGUGGAAACUGCUUUAAAGGCCAGCCUUUGCUCCCAGAUGACCACAGAGAGUUAGCAAACACAUACCAUAGAAUAAGCAUUGCCGACUGCUUAAAGUGUCCAGCCUUUCCAAAUAGAUCAGCCUCAACUAGAAGUUCACCUUUCAGCUUUGCAAUCUUUGCUGCCUCCAGGAAGUUACCAAACUCUUCUUCCAGUGACAAAAGCUCAUCAAAGCAUCCUAAAGCAUUCAAGAAAGUUCGAAUUGCAUCCAUGGAAUUAAACGCUCUAACAUAUCUCAUCAUGGCUCUGUUAUCAUUUAGCUUGUGAUAAUGAAAAGCACAGUUCUCCAAAAACUCUUUCUCGGUUUUGUCCAUUUCUCUGCUCCUAUAUUUAUUUGCAGUCGCUUCCUGUUUCCAGCACUGAAUAUAUUGCAAGCCCAUGUCAAAGAGUUCUCCCUUGGUACAUGCAGACAAGAACUCUGAGAAAUGGAAGCCCCUAGCAUAUACUUCUGCUGCAAGCUUAUAACAUCCAGCAAGACAGAAACAUUCUCCAGCUCUUUCUCUAGCAGAUUCCCCACAUUGCAAAUAGUUUUGACCUGCUCGUUUAUACUCUCUUAACAUAUAAAAGCAUUCUGCAGCAUGCUCAGCUUUGCCAAUUGAUUCAUAAAUUUCAGCAGCCUGCCUACGGGUGAUAGAAGCCUUUUCAGGAUUUGAGCAAUGCACUCUGUCAGCAGUUGCCUUAAGCCCAGCAGCCUUGGCCACUUUUUCACCAUAUAUAUCUCCUGCUCUUUCGAAACACAUUGUUGCCAUCUCAUAAUUACCCUCAUUUAGAAGCUUGUAACCCCUUGACGUCCACUCUUCUGGACUGCUAGCAACUUGCAUUGCUAGUGCAAAAGAGUCAUCUAGUUUUCUUACUUGAACAAGGUCCUUAUUCUUCCAGUAAUCAAACAUUGGUUUGGAUAACUCCUCUAUGUUCUCGCAAAUCCACAAUCUUUGUCUCGUACGUGUGAUAGCGACAUAUAACUGCUUUAACUCAGAGCAUAAAACAAUGUGUUUUGCUGGAUUGAAAGUAGGAAAGGACUCAUCAAGUAAGUUUUGUUCUUUCAUGUAUUCAUAGAUGACUCUCCAUUUAUUUUUCAGAGGCGAUGAGCCAAAAAAGUUGUACAAUAGUACAUCCUGAAACUCCAGGCCUUUGCACUCCAUUAUAGUCAACACGAGGGCUUGUUUCCCAACGUAGUUAUAAACUUCUUUCCUAGCUGAAUCAUCACGAACUAAUAUGACCUGCUCUGCCCCAAAACCAACAAAAUUGGUUUGUCCAUUCCCAUUCUUCCCAAAUAUAUUAACAAUUGCAUUUUCAUCAUUUCUUGCCUCAAGCCAAAUUGGGGCUUCCCCAAAUAUAAGACUAGUUUCAGGGCUUAAAAUAUCAACAAACGAAGGGAAAAAGCGGUAAAGGAGGUCAAUAACGCUCUGAGCUAACUUGAGAAUACCAGCAUGGGUACGAAAGUUUUGGCUCAAAUGAAAAAUUUUAGAAAUCCGACCUUUCUCCUUUCUUCCAUCAUAUCCUUCACUAUUUGAUCCUAGAAGAAACUCAUUGUAGAAUAGAUUUCUUAUUUCUUCAAACCUAAAAUCAAUGCCCCUAGCUAUGGUUUGUGCUGUGUCACCCGAAAAAACAAAGCCCUCACUCACAUUCCUACAAAUGUACUUGAAAAGAGCAAUCUGCCUCAUUGUAAGAUCUUGGACUUCAUCAAUAUAGACAAAAUCCAUAAUGUCACCUUCAUAUUUAACAUUUUUAAGCCUAAGAUGAAGAUCAAUAACAAAAUCUGCCAUAUCAAAAUCACCAUAGGCUAUCUUCAUCUUUUCAUAAUCUUCAUAGAUGUCGUAUAUCAUCUCUCUCUUCUCCCUACUUAAAGUUGAUAACCGAACCUCGGAGAGAGUAACAUAAUCCUUUCGUGCAAGUCUACCAUCACUAAAUUCCCCUGAUUGCAAGCCACAUUUUAUAUGUGACAUAAUCUCAGUAAAGGCUAUAGAAGAGUCAAGCAUUUUUGUUAUGUGUGUAUUGAAAUGUGGCCAAUAAAUUGAACAAAACUUAUCAUAGUUAACCUCCCUUGUAGUUAUAAAAGUUUGAAUGGAAAUGGAUUUCAAAUUUCUCUUUUCUGCAUGCAAAAUCUGCCUCACAUCAGGGAAUCUUUCAAAAUAUGAAUUGCCUAUUGUCCCAUCAAGCAUCAUCAAAAACUUAUAGAAAGAUAUAAUAAGAGGGUAUGAGCUGGAAGGAAUGUCAACAAAAGAAUAUGGGGCAUCCUCGAACUGUGCUAUCUCAUCAAUAUCUUCAAUACCGACUGAACUGCUUUCUACCAAAUAUUUUCCCCCAGAUGCAAAGCUUUUUAAAUGAGAAAUAUGAUGUUUUAUAGCAUAACAAAGUUUAGGAUUGACAGUCACAAAAAGCUGGCGCAAGGCAAUCUUCUUAGCCUCUCCAACACUGUCCUCCACUUUUUUUACAUCAUUUUCCACAUUGUUUCUACAACAGGCAUCCUUUGAGGUAUUGCCAAUGCCUUCACCAAUUCCUUCAGUUGCCAUACGGGAUUGUUGCUCUUUCUGAAACAACUUCAUAGUUAGGACAGUUGUUUUCCCAGUGCCAGACCGUCCUAGAAUAAACAUACUUCUUUGGAAUGCAAUCAUAUCUCGCUCUUCAACUGUUACUUCAAAAGGGAGUUCUAUUUCUCUACCAUCAUGGUCAGAAAGUAAGUGCUUCACAAUGCCAGAUGACAAGGAGUAGAAUUUUAUCAGUAGCAGACUCUCACUCACUUUGCAGUUCUCCACAUAGCAUGUAGCAUCAGAAGCACCAAAAUUUGAAUCGCUCCUGGAUUCACUGUUGCUAAGAUUCUUAUAACGGACAAUCUCAAAAGAGGUUGACCAAUUUUUGGGAGCUUCCAAAUUCCCCUUUAGACUUUUCUCAUUGCAUCGACUAAUAAAGUCAUCAGUCUGCCUUUCAAAGAUUCCAUCGAGACGUUUAACAAAUCUUGGAAUAUCUUCCAGUGGUAAAACAUCCCAAACCUUCAAGACUUGAAUGUACUUUACUUCUUCUUUCACUAUAUCAAUUGAACAGAGUACAUAGAGUCCUUCAACCUUGAACUGCUUCAAGAUUUGAGAACUUUUUUCACAAACUGAAUCCACAUUUUUUUUCUUAGGACGCCAACCACUAGAAAGUCUUAGCAGAAGGUUCAAAACAAAUUUCUUUGUCCGGACUGAUGUCAGCUUUGAAAAUGAUUUUCUAAAAUUUUCACUAAAAAGAACCUUCCACCUAGCACACUUGAAAAGUGGGCUAUUUCCAUUAAGCAAAUCAUCAAGUUGAUCAAACUCUUUCUUGACUUCUAAAAUGGCUUUGGCCAAUUCCUUGUUUUCAUCAGCAUUAAAGAAACAUUGACGCUGUUUUGCAUCAGAGACUAGCUCCUCCCAAACAGAUCCACUUCUAGCUAGAGUUCUUUCAUUCCCUAAAAUCCAGAGGCAGUGCCUAGCCCUCGUAAGAGAAACAUUAAUUCUCUGUCGGUUAGACAUAAAUCCAAUAAAUCCAUCACUGUUUGAUCUCACAGUUGAUAUUAUGACAACAUCUUCCUCACCACCUUGGAACCCAUCUAUUGAUUGGACUUUCACUGAAAAUCCAUUAACUUUUUUGUAUUUAUGACCAAGUUUCUCUUGAAUUGCAACUACUUGAGCAGCAUAUGGAGAUAUGACACCAAUGUUGAUAUUUUGUUUUGAGCCACUCCAUUCUUUAUACAGACAGUGCACUAAUUUUAACACAAUAGCUACCUCCACCAUAUUUCUCCGGCUAUGUCCAACAUCAUCCACCUCUUCUCUUCCACCAGUUACAUUUAUGAAUGAAUAGGGGCCAAACAUUGAGCCUGGAAGAUAAUGCUUUUCAUAACUUUUACUCCUGACAUUUGGCGCAUCUAUUAUAAGAUUAGAGUAAAAGUUUUUGUUUGGGAAGGUACUGAUCGAUGGAUGCAUCCUGUACUGCAUAUUUAAAAGGUGUUUUGGAUGACCUAACGAGCUCAACCUUUCAAAUAAACUUCUUCCAAAGCCAGCUUCAUCAGAAAGAUUGCUUUCCACAGUAGCUGGUAACUGGCAUUCAUCGCCAAUAAGAAUGGCAUGCCUAAUUCCAGGAAGCUGUAAGGGUAUUGUUGAUUCACACUCUUUUAAUUGGGCUGCUUCAUCAAUGACCAACAAAUUCAUUGGUUCCAUUUUCAAUGAAUACAGCUUAUAUGAACUAGAUGCCGUGCAGAAAAUCAAGGAAGCAUUUUGAAAACAGAAAUUUUCCAUUGAACGCCUGCUCAUAGAACUUUUAAAAUCAAAUCCACUUAGAGAAGUACGGAGAUUCUUUAAAAUAGAAAGGCAUUUGCUUCUCUGCGAGAAUAAUAGCAACGAAAUAUCUGCAAAAACUUCAAAAGAAUCCUCAGCUAACUCUGGACGUGAAAAAAGCUUCUCAAGUUCUUCAGAGAUUACAUCAUCACGGAAGAGCAAAGUUUCAAAAGAACCAAGUAACCCAACAAGGGAUAUCAUAUUUUGAAUAUCAUGUUUCAGGAUAUAGCUUUCAGGUGUAUGAGAGCAUAAAGUAAAGGCACAUGUUUUCAGUUGUAAUAUAUUGAAGCGGAAUUGCUCUCUCAUAAAUUCAAGAAAUGAUUUAUGCUUCCCACUGCAAACAACACCUUCACCGCUGCAAUUUUUCUCUGUGUUUUCAUUUUCCUGAUCACGCUCCUGCUCUUUGAUCAAUUCUUUUUCCAAGAAAUUAUAAUACUGACAAACGCAAUCUUCAAAAAAGUCUAUUGUUGAAGUGAAACACGACCUUUUAGCAGUCAAAGCUGCAAAGCACUUUCUAAGCCUUUUAACACGAUAAUCCAAAGAUAUGUCUUCAAUCUCUGAGUUAACUUUGAGCCUGUCCUUAUUCCCAAAUAACAGAAUAUCACUCAAAGAACAAAACAAAGCAUCAGUUCCUGAGCCUAUUUCGGA
rnacentral:misc_RNA from 1 species